rnacentral:tRNA from 1 species
CCUCUGAUAGUACAAUGGUAGUACAUUCGACUGAUAAUCGAAAGACGAUGGUCCGAUUCCAUCUCGGAGGACAA